AACGCAUUUUGCACUCUCUGGUAUUCCGGAGAGUACGCUUGUUUGAGUACCGUGACAUCCCUCACAACCCAAACCUGAUGUCAUGUCAGGGGAGGUGCGUGGAUCUGAUUGUUCCCUGGUCCCUUCUGGGAGCUGGGUCAAUUGAAAUGCAUUGAUCGGAACUUGCGUGUUGACAGAGGUUACUCUUGCUCAGUACGUACUUUUCUGAAAAAGAAUGUAGAUUAAUGGUAGCAAUACCUUUUCAACGUUCUUUGCCAAGGAAAAGUAUCUUGGAAAAGCAGUUGUUUCAUCCCAAACUUUGCCGACUACUAUCUUCAAGAUAGAGCGCUUGUAUACGGCUCAAAACUUGACAUGCCAGGCAGCGCAAGCUGAAUACCUGAACUUUGGUCUCAAAUCAAGCGAGAGAACCCGCUGAACUUAA
rnacentral:misc_RNA from 1 species